GAUAAUCACAAAGGAAUCCCUUUUGGCUGCACAGAGGGAAGAUUUGCGCAGAGUAAUGGAACUGCUAUCACUAAGGGAACACCAUGCAAGGACCUUAUUGAUACAUUACCGUUGGGAUGUUGAAAGACUAUUUGCUGUGUUUGUAGAGAAGGGGAAAUCAUGCUUGUUUACUGAAGCAGGUGUUACUGUGGUUGAGCAACUAGAUAUUGAUUCACCCCUCACUUCGUCUUCUACGAUAACGUGUGAUAUAUGCAUAGAGGAUGUAUCUAGCAAUAAGGUCACAAGAAUGGACUGUGGCCAUUGUUUUUGCAAUGAUUGUUGGACAGAGCACUUCAUUGUGAAAAUCAAUGAGGGUCAGAGUAGGCGCAUCCGGUGCAUGGCGCACAAAUGUAAUGCUAUCUGUGAUGAAGCUGUUGUCAGAAGUCUAGUCAGUAAAAAGCAUCCUGAUUUGGCAGAGAAAUUUGAUCGUUUUCUUCUUGAAUCAUACAUUGAGGA
rnacentral:misc_RNA from 1 species